rnacentral:rRNA from 1 species
UACGUAGGGGGCAAGCGUUGUCCGGAUUUAUUGGGCGUAAAGAGCGUGUAGGCGGCUAGACAGGUCCGCUGUGAAAACUCGAGGCUCAACCUCGAGACGUCGGUGGAAACCGUCUGGCUAGAGUCCGGAAGAGGAGAGUGGAAUUCCCGGUGUAGCGGUGAAAAUGCGUAGAUAUCAGGAGGAACACCUGUGGCGAAAGCGGCGCCACUGGACCACAACUGACGCUGGAGGCGCGAAGCUAGGAGC